UAGGGAAUCUUCGGCAAUGGACGAAAGUCUGACCGAGCAACGCCGCGUGAGUGAAGAAGGUUUUCGGAUCGUAAAACUCUGUUGUUAGAGAAGAACAAGGACGUUAGUAACUGAACGUCCCCUGACGGUAUCUAACCAGAAAGCCACGGCUAACUACGUGCCAGCAGCCGCGGUAAUACGUAGGUGGCAAGCGUUGUCCGGAUUUAUUGGACGUAAAGCGAGCGCAGGCGGUUUCUUAAGUCUGAUGUGAAAGCCCCCGGCUCAACCGGGGAGGGUCAUUGGAAACUGGGAGACUUGAGUGCAGAAGAGGAGAGUGGAAUUCCAUGUGUAGCGGUGAAAUGCGUAGAUAUAUGGAGGAACACCAGUGGCGAAGGCGGCUCUCUGGUCUGUAACUGACGCUGAGGCUCGAAAGCGUGGGGAGCAAACAGG
rnacentral:rRNA from 1 species